rnacentral:rRNA from 1 species
UACGUAGGGCGCAAGCGUUUAUCCGGAAUUAUUGGGCGUAAAGAGCUCGUAGGUGGCCUGUCGCGUCGGCUGCGAAACUACGGGGCUGCAACUCCGGCCGUGCAGCCGAUACGGGCAAACUAGAAUUCGGUAGGGGAGGACUGGAAUUCCUGGUGUAGCGGUGAAAUGCGCAGAUAUCAGGAGGAACACCGGUGGCGAAGGCGGGUCUCUGGGCCGAUAUUGACGCUGAGGAGCGAAAGCGUGGGGAGCAAACAGG